AUUGAACGCUGGCGGCAGGCCUAACACAUGCAAGUCGAACGGUAACAGGAAGAAGCUUGCUUCUUUGCUGACGAGUGGCGGACGGGUGAGUAAUGUCUGGGAAACUGCCUGAUGGAGGGGGAUAACUACGGGAAAGGGUAGCAAAAACCGAAAAACGCGCAAAACCCAAAGGGGGGGCCUUUGGGCCCUUUUGCAUCGGAUUUGCCCAGGUGGGGUUGGCCUGUUGGGGGGGUAACGGCCCACCUGGGGAACGUCCCCUCAUUGGCUGUGGGGGUGAACCACCACACCGUGACCGAGACACGGGCCAAAACCCUACGGGAGGGAGCAGUGGGGAAUAUUGCACCAUGGGGGGAAGCCUGAUGGAGGCAAGGCGCGUGUAUGAAGAAGGCCUUCGGGUUGUAAAGUACUUUCAGCGGGGAGGAAGGGAGUAAAGUUAAUACCUUUGCUCAUUGACGUUACCCGCAGAAGAAGCACCGGCUAACUCCGUG
rnacentral:rRNA from 1 species